AUACUCAGAGAGUGAGAGCCUUCAGAUUUGGGUGAGUGAUGCCAUUAGAACCAAGAUUUCUUCCAUUCUUCUGCUCUAUCAUUCUCAGCACAACAUGCUUUUCUCAUUAAGGCCGCUGUGGUUCGUCUUCUGCCUGGGAACUGGAUAAAAACAUCAGUGAAUACCCCAAAGGUCAGAAUUUCAGAACUGCUGCCACAACUGUAUUGUCACCAAGUAGUCACCAUGCUCUCACUCACUCUCUUUUUUUAAGAGGCCUGGUCAUGUCCGGGGGAAUGCCAGGUUUUCAAAAAUGCUUGUUGAUAAAAUGAAGUCAGAAUGUGAGAUGAGGCCUUCCACCUGAGUGAUGUUGGUCUUGGCUGUGUGAUUUGCUUUGGCUGAUGAUAAGUUGAUGGAAGUGAUAGUAAGACAAUGCUGAGCCUCAUCCUCGGAAGUAUCUCUGCCUUCACCUGGCUUUGUGCACCACUGCCCUGGCUUUGAGAAGAACAUGAGCCCAGUAAAUUGUUAGUCCAGGAAGAAUGAGAGGGAAAGUCCUGAGGCAGAGAAGUGGAGAGAAGUUGCUGCUUGAGCUUGAGAAAGAAUGGUGGCAGAGUACAUGCAUGGAAGUGCUACCAUAGCUGCUCUGAAAUCAGAGGAAAGUGGAAUUAUAAGAAGACCCCAUCUGACAAGGCUCAUAAAGGAGAGCAACUCUUAUGGAAUACAUCCAAGAUAUAUACGUCUUUGAAGAAAGACAUCACUCAACUGUGAAAGAUCACCAUGACCCCUGCUUUAAUUUCAUCAAAAAACUUAGUCCAUCAGCUCAGUUACCCUUUAGCCUUGCAUGGGAAUUGACUCAGAGCUUCUGCAAGAUCAGGGCCUAUAUUAGGUAUUGAGGGUUCAGGGAUGAACUAAGCUGAUCUGGUUCCUGCUCUCUAGGCUGUAGAAGAUGGCAAGUGCUGUGGACUUCAAAGAAAAGAUUUCUGAAGUGUCAUGUUAUGACAAUUGUGGUAAGUGCUACGCUUGAAACAGUUAGGUACUUUGAUAGCAUUCAAGAUGGGAUUCUGACCUGGAGAGGAGAUAUCUUCACUGAAGAAGUGAUAAUUAAACAGAAACUAGAAAGAUGGUGGUGAUGUGAGCACAGGGGCCUUUAGGGACAGUGUGAUGAAAAGCAAGGUGAUACAGGCAGACAAACAGCAUAUCUGCACAUGAGCCUGGUCCAUUUGAGGAAGGCAAGGAUGGGGAUAGGCAGUGAAACUCCAAUACAGUGAGUGAGGGUGAGUAUGACGUGAACUGAGAAUAGAAAUUUGGGCAGGCAGCACUUUGCAAGGCUGA
rnacentral:lncRNA from 10 species